UCUCGUUGAUGAUCGGUGCUUGCACCGAGAUUCAACAUGGAACGAGUGGCGGACGGGUGAGUAACACGUGGGUAACCUGCCCUUAAGUGGGGGAUAACAUUUGGAAACAGAUGCUAAUACCGCAUAGAUCCAAGAACCGCAUGGUUCUUGGCUGAAAGAUGGCGUAAGCUAUCGCUUUUGGAUGGACCCGCGGCGUAUUAGCUAGUUGGUGAGGUAAUGGCUCACCAAGGCGAUGAUACGUAGCCGAACUGAGAGGUUGAUCGGCCACAUUGGGACUGAGACACGGCCCAAACUCCUACGGGAGGCAGCAGUAGGGAAUCUUCCACAAUGGACGCAAGUCUGAUGGAGCAACGCCGCGUGAGUGAAGAAGGCUUUCGGGUCGUAAAACUCUGUUGUUGGAGAAGAAUGGUCGGCAGAGUAACUGUUGUCGGCGUGACGGUAUCCAACCAGAAAGCCACGGCUAACUACGUGCCAGCAGCCGCGGUAAUACGUAGGUGGCAAGCGUUAUCCGGAUUUAUUGGGCGUAAAGCGAGCGCAGGCGGUUUUUUAAGUCUGAUGUGAAAGCCCUCGGCUUAACCGAGGAAGCGCAUCGGAAACUGGGAAACUUGAGUGCAGAAGAGGACAGUGGAACUCCAUGUGUAGCGGUGAAAUGCGUAGAUAUAUGGAAGAACACCAGUGGCGAAGGCGGCUGUCUGGUCUGUAACUGACGCUGAGGCUCGAAAGCAUGGGUAGCGAACAGGAUUAGAUACCCUGGUAGUCCAUGCCGUAAACGAUGAAUGCUAGGUGUUGGAGGGUUUCCGCCCUUCAGUGCCGCAGCUAACGCAUUAAGCAUUCCGCCUGGGGAGUACGACCGCAAGGUUGAAACUCAAAGGAAUUGACGGGGGCCCG
rnacentral:rRNA from 1 species